GAAACAGCCACGGAAGGAGAAUUGGAUACGGAAACAAAAGGAGUGACUGGAACUGGACUCAAUGCAACCCCAGAAGUGGUUGGAGAAAUGCUAGAGUUAACAGAAGAAAUUGCAGGUGUUUCAGCAUUGGAGAGACCAACAGCAGGUGUAGGUUGAGGUGUAGUUACAGUUAUAUCUGUUUGUGUUCCUUGGACAGCUUCU
rnacentral:misc_RNA from 1 species